rnacentral:rRNA from 1 species
UACGAAGGGUGCAGGCGUUAAUCGGAAUUACUGGGCGUAAAGGGUGCGUAGGCGGUUGUUUAAGUCUGUCGUGAAAUCCCCGGGCUCAACCUGGGAAUGGCGAUGGAUACUGGGCAGCUAGAGUGUGGCAGAGGAUGGUGGAAUUCCCGGUGUAGCGGUGAAAUGCGUAGAGAUCGGGAGGAACAUCAGUGGCGAAGGCGGCCAUCUGGGACAACACUGACGCUGAAGCACGAAAGCGUGGGGAGCAAACAGG